GGUCAAUGGCCUAACGGCUGAACCAGCAACUUGGAGGAAUGUAUAGCAAUUGCUAGUUGCAUAAUAUAUGCAAUAUCAACAAUGUUGAAUAAAGUUCUGAAUAAAUUUUGAUGAUGACAAUUUUUAUUUAUAUGUCUUGACCAAAAUACGUGCCAGCAGUCGCGGUAACACGUUAAAGACUAGUGUUAUUCAUCUUUAAUAGGUUUAAAGGGUACUUAGACGGUAGAUAAAGCCAAGAUUAUUAAUUCUAUGUUACAAAUAAAGAACAAAAGUUUUAAUCGGAACUAAUCUGCUAGAGUUACUUGUGAGGGGGCCUAAAAGUACUAUUGGUUUAGAGAUAAAAUUCUGCGAGACCACCGAACAGUAAAUGGCACAGGUAAAGGCGAAGGCGUCCCCCUAUGUGAUAACUGACGUUGAAGGACGAAGGCUUUGAAUAGCGAAUAGGAUUAGAUACCCUAGUAGUCGAAGCAGAGAAUGAUGAGUGUCAUAAACUAGAUAACAUUUUAGUUUAUAAAUGAAAAUGUAAGCACUCCACCUUAUGAGUAAAGUGGCAACGCCGGAAUUGAAAUCAUUAGACCGUUUCUGAAACCAGUAGUGAAGUAUGUUGUUUAAUUUGAUAAUCCACAAAAAACCUUACCACAACUUGAAUAUUUAUAAUCUUAUUCCUAUAGAAUAAGACUUAUAUCUACAAGCGUUGCACGGCUGUCUUCAGUUAAUGUCGUGAGAUUUGGUUAGAUCCAUUAAAUUAACGUAAACCCUUGCAUUAUUUAUAAAUAAUGUAGCUAGUCCAAUACAACGGAUAUUAUAAAAGGGACUAAGACAAGUCAUCAUGGCCCGAAUGUUGUGG
rnacentral:rRNA from 1 species